GUCACUGAUCUGAUGAGAUACCAGACGAAGUAUCUUAAAGAGGAGACUGUUUCUAGGUCAAAUUAGCACAUGCAGGCUGAGAUCUGUGCUGGGAUGUUUUAAGUUCCAGUGGAAAUGUCAGCAGGCAAAGCAGGGGAAAACCAAGAUGCAGCUCUGUGACGAUUCCACAGUAUCCAGACCAGCUGAUAAUCAGUUAUUCAAGGUCAGUUUAAGAACCAAGUCAUCUUUCCUUUCAACCACCACCACCACAACAUCCACACAGAGGAAUCUCUGCCUUCAGGGAGCUGGGGCCAUGUGAGUCACAGUCUCUAGAGAUUCAACUUUUGAGGAAAACUGGUUCAGACUACAUGGAGAGGUGAAUGCCUGAAAAGGAGACAGAGGCAACAGGUUGGAAAAGGAGGCUUGCACAGGCUUCCAGGUGGCUCUGGGAUGCCAGAAGAGAGCAGCAGAGUCAUUAUGUGCACAUUUCAAUAGUUGCUAGACAGUCACUUCCACACCAGUGCCUCCAAAUGGAUCCCUUACCCUGGAGUAAAGAUUCUUGCAAGCAGCAGAGGUGACACAGUCUGAAAAGGCAAGCAGACAGCAAAGACGCUCACCCAUAGUAUCACAAGAGUCGAAUCAAGGGCUCAUUCGUACACACCCACAGAGACAGAAGGCCUUGAGAAUGUGAAGUGGGUGAUGCCCUCAGACUCAGCUGGCCCUUAGGAUUUAGACCCUGGGUGAAAGACAAGGGGAGAUGGUACACUAUGCUGUCAGAACUCCAAGUAGAAAUUUUCAACAGACUAGUGAUAAACUGGUAUUAUUUUGUGUACCAUUGAUAAGUGGUUAUUAGCCCAAAUGCUUGAAUUACCCUAGAUGCACAGAACACAUGAAA